rnacentral:rRNA from 1 species
UACGUAGGGGGCAAGCGUUGUCCGGAUUUAUUGGGCGUAAAGAGCUCGUAGGCGGCUUAGUAAGUCGGGUGUGAAACCUCCAGGCUCAACCUGGAGACGCCACCCGAUACUGCUGUGGCUAGAGUCCGGUAGGGGAGCGUGGAAUUCCUGGUGUAGCGGUGAAAUGCGCAGAGAUCGGGAGGAACACCCGUAGCGAAGGCGGCACUCUGGGCCGGUACUGACGCUGAGGAGCGAAAGCGUGGGGAGCAAACAGG